rnacentral:miRNA from 1 species
UAUGUAGCUAAGUACCUAAUACAGAGUAGCAUCUCAUGAUCUGACACUAUUCUGUAUUAGGCACUUAUCUACUUA